AUCCACCACUGCAUUUUCCAACGCUCGGAGCAACGAAACCACACAAUCCUUGCUAAAGCCCUCUAAUCCUUAACAAAGUCUUUGAGGUAGAGGCGACCACUCCUGCUAGAUCUGCACAGCGCCUAUGGGAACAACACAGGGAUCUCUCAGCUCGGCGCAAUCCAAGCCCUAGCGAUACCAAGGGCAAGAACUCCGGCUCUGAGGCUAUCGGCGCAGCCACCACAGAGUCCUCACGCAUGAAGUCCCCAGCCUGUGGCCAGGGUACAAGUAACACACUGCAGUGGUUUUGUGUGGCACUUUUCCCUAAACUAGAAGAACAAAACUGGCUCCACAAGGGAACCCCCCCAAAAUCUAAUGCAAAACACACCAAAGAACUGUCUGACUGACAUGAAAUGCUCAUAUUGUUCAACCGUUGCAGUCCUGACAUUUAAUUAUAACAUCAAAAUGCCUUUGCAUUCCUUCCCUGGACAGCACAGAAUGCUGCUGAGCUCAGCGGCAAUUACAAGAAAAUUUACUUCAUUGCCAGCAUUAAUCUGAAUAUACUCACUUCAAAGGAACAGCAAUUAUUUAACACUUCAACUGCUCACACAUAUUGACUAAAUGCCUUGCUCAAGAGAUUGUUUUAUCCUUACCACCAUCCAGUGGUCCCUCAUUUUUGCUGUACUUUUGUUAGACUGUACCUCUUAGAAACAUACAGAAAUACACUUUAAAAUGACUUUGAAAAGAUUUGACUGAAAAGGAUUUAAAAAGCAUCAAUUUAAGCCAGGUGUUACUAUUUUUAA